rnacentral:lncRNA from 1 species
GCCUGUAGCAGUUUGCUCAGUGGAUUUGUGGAUUUUACCCAGUGAACUAUGGAGUUUGUUCCACCUAUCUGUAUCUCUGAAUUUGAACUCCAAUCUCAGAUUCAUAACUGAUGUAUCUCGAAGCGUGGGAAUUCACAGCACACAAAAUAUCCUCUUCUGCUCAACUGAUCCUCUGUUACUACUGACACUGACACAGGGCCGUUAUUUUUAUGCAGUCUGUAAAGGGAACUUAGGAGUGUGUCCAUCAAGGAGGAGUUACCUGUCUUCAUAACCAAGACGAGGACUGAGAGCUGAGAGGCUUCCCUCACUCAGUGCAGAGGAAUCACAGAUCCUGCCCCAGGGCAAAGGUGAGGAUGCCAAGAUGCAAACCAGAGCUGGCUGCAGAAUGAAGUGUAGGUAGCCUCAGUGGCAUGAUCUUUUAAUCCUGAUCAGGUAGCAGUUGAGUGAAAACUCCUCCUGUUUUGAUGUGAAGAGCACAGACCUUGUAUCCCACAAAUUGCUGUUGUGAUGAUUUUCUUUACAAGGAAAGACAUCACCUGGAGAAAUGCAGUCACUCAAGGAAGAAAAAUGCCAAGUCAUCUGAAGCUUUGUCUCUCCUGAUUGCAAUCAUAUUUUAUUCUCAAG